AUGUUUGCUUCUUUCUCAUGCCCAAUGCUUCCCCCCAACCCAAAAUUGAUUUCCCAAUUCUCUAAUUUCUUCUAAUCCCUAAAUUUCAGCCAAAAGAAUUAGCACCCAAGAAACCUAAGACCAGACCCCUUUCAUGCAAACGGAAACUGUCUCUACAAUUCCAAUUCAUGCGUUUUUAAGCAAGGAUAUAUAAGUUGAGAAGCUUUGGAAGCCAUUUGAGCAACGCCUGCCAUGAACAAGCAUGUAAUGGAAUCUUCAUGUUCAUAGGCUCAAGAGCUUAGAGGGCCACAAUUGGAUAAGGGGAAGGAAAAAGUGAUCGAAUAGCCGUCAAAGCCGUUCGACAACAUCCGAGAUUUUGCUCGUAGCAAUCGGAUUCGGGAUCAUUAAAGUCGAAGUCAUCUACACUAUCAAAGCCUCCAUUUUGGUAUAAUUUUGGUUGAACUUUGAAAUGGCAUGUUAGGACUACCCUAAUGUUGAAGGUCAUGUACCUUUCGGUUUUGUGUAAGCUUGGAUAGCCAUGCGAAAAUGGCUUAUAUACGUUUUUAGUAUGAUUCUAUAAUAGUUUGUAUGAUAAUCAUUAUGGGGUAUGAAAUUGUUUGAAAGGAUUAGCCAUUGGAAUGGUUAAUCAUAA